AAAUCAUACCAAGCAUUCAUCUGGGACUUUCCAUUACCUUAUAGCAGCAGAUAAGUUUGUGAGAUAGUCCCUGUGAAAGUUUAUCCUCUUGUCAUCCUGCAAAGCCUUCUCUAAAGUUAUAAUAACCGGUGGAUUGCCAUAAUUAUCUUUCACAUAUCGAGCUAACUUUCGGAUGCCCCAUGGCACAAUGUGUAGCCAGCGAGAAGCUGCCUGGAGGAGGAAGAAAUCAUGAGCAUGCUUUAAUUUGGUAUGUUUAAGUAAAUGAUAGGCCUAAGAAGUUGUGACUUACUCGUUCUCCAAUAGCUUCUCCACCUCGAAAAGCUACAUUCAAGAACAUUUCAUCAUGAUUAUCCGUUCAUAUCUUAGUUGACUUUUAUUUAAUUUUAUUUUUAGAUGCAGUAAAUAGCGACUAGGCAUCUUACAGGUAGUAAUAACCGCUGCAUCAGAUGAAGCAUCCCGCAAUAUGAAUUUCCUAAUUCGUGUCCUGUCAUUCCGGGCAUAUAAUGUGGUAUAAUGAUUUAUGCCAACAAAAUCCAAGGACCCCAACAGAAACUUGGCUGUUUUUGGUGAGAUCUCUGGUAGUCUCUUUCCCACAAGCCUCUGCAUUGACAGUGGAUAUUCACCGAAGAAAAGUGGAUCAAGGAACCUGAGUCAAUUUUUGGUGUCAUGCACUUCAUAUAUUGGAAUUGAUUUCUUGCUAAUGUCCGUAACUCAAGCUUUAUAUAUCCCACAAGAGAAAUUACCAUCUGAUUCCAAAGUCCAUUGCCCUACGUGCAGCAUCUUUGUCCUCAUCACUAUCAGAUAUCGGUUCAUACCAUUUGGCAUCCAGUGCCAUUCCAAUUAGACCCCCUUGACUUUCCUGAAAGACCCUCAUAAAUGGAAAAUAAAAUUCUUGUCAUUUUCUUUUAAUUGAUAGGAGAACCAGAAUAUCUUAUAAGACAAUCAUAUUCAUGAAGAGGAAUACCUUGAAAUGGAGCUGGUAAUUAUGAUAAGCUGCAGCAUGAGACAAGAGGAUGUUGUGAGCUACAAUGUAUGGUUCAGUGGAGGAUUCUCCUGUCUUGCAGAACAAAUGCCCAAGAAUGGAGCACCUCCCAGGAGCUUGAAGACCUGUGUCAUAACCUUGGAGUGCGAAACCGUGGGGUUCAUUAAAGGUGAUCCAGUUCUUGACUCUAUCUCCAAAAGCUUGGAAGCAGGUAGAGGCAUAAUACUCGAAGUCUUUUCUGUGAGUGAAUGGAGGCUAUUGGUUAAGUCUGUUUCAUGUCAUGAAAAUACCAUAGAUAAUUGUGAUGUACUUACACUAUCUGUUUGCUUAACCAUCCUUCAUAUCUAUCUUCAAGCAUCUGUGGAAGAUCCCAAUGAUAGAGAGUUACAUAGGGUUGAAUUCCUGAUAGAAAACAAGAGCUAAACCUUCAAUAAUCUAAUAUUCUAUGAGAAUUAGAUUCAAUGAGUCAUGUUAUUGAGAAACCUUUUUCAAGUAAAGCAUCUAUAAGACUGUUGUAGUAUUCUAUUCCUUCCAGAUUCGGUUCUCCUGUACCUUCUGUUAAAAGGAAUAUUCUAAGACAGUUAUUAAAAGUUAAACAAAUGAUAAGCAAAAACUAGAGGAAAACAAAAAUAAGGAUGGAUUCUUUUCUUACUAGGAAAAAUUCUUGACCAUGAUAUUGAGAAUCUGUAAGCAUCCAUUCCCAAAUCCUUCAUCAAGUCUAUAUCAGUCUGUAAAUUUUGAAAUUUAACUUCUCAGUCUUGAGAGAAAAAGUGCAGUCGUUGGUUGACUAAAUAAAAAAAUGCUUCUAAUUGCCUUACUUGGAUGUUAUGCUUAUCUUAUCGAGGUUAGUGGCACAUCAUCAUCAUCAUCAUCUUGUUUCUUAUUUGUUUAUUGAUUUGUUUAUUUAUUUUCCUUUUUCUAUUGCUUAAGCUUAAGGUACAAGUUUCUUGUGAAGUUUGCAAGGGAUACACUUGACAUAAAAAAUGGGGAAAAAAAAACAUCAAAACUGGAAUGGCUUUAAAAAUUGAAAGAAAUGAAAGUUUUCUUUUCUUCUUCUAUUUUCAUUUUUAAUUUUUGGUGCAAGAAGAUUGAAACAAUCAACUUAUGCCUUUGUACUCUAAACCGAUUAAGCACAUCUAUAGUCAACCCAAUGUAUCUUCACAAUUCACCUUAAACCGGUGAUAUUGGUCGACUGCCAUAUCUGCAUUGCUGAAAUCCAGGAUCCUCCCUGGUAGAACAGACAAACAAGAUCAACAUAUCAAACCCGUCUCUAAAUAUUAUUGUCUUGGGUCAUAAGCUGUGUUAAUAGAAUCAAAUUGCAAUUGAAUAAUUUUGAACUCUUACCUGGUUGCCUUGUGAAAGUAUCCCAUAUGCUAACUCCCUUGUUUCCUUCAUCCACAGCUCCUUCAAACUACAACAUAUGAUUUCAUGUGCUAUUCUAUUGAAUCUAUCAUGAAGAAAUUGAAAGUUCAGAAAAAUGAAAAGCAUUACCUGGUAAGCUGAAGAAGCAGUUCCAAAGAUGAACCCAUCUGGGAAAUCAACUCUGCUGAUGGAUUCGGAGUUCAUGAAGAGACAGCUCAUCAAAAUCAGGACCAGCAAGACUGCCAUGGUGAGGUUUCUAGACCAUGAACAAUGGGUUUGUUUUAGAUUGCUGUGCGGGAGAUUUUAAACUAAACUGAAUUUGUGUUAUUAUCUUAAAUGUGAAGUUGAAGAAAAUAUGGUUGAAGAAGAAAUUUUAAACAGCAA